GGAUUAGAUACCCUGGUAGUCCACGCCGUAAACGAUGUCUACUAGUUGUCGGUUGUCUUGUACGACGGGUAACGCAGCUAACGCGAUAAGUAGACCGCCUGGGGAGUACGGCCGCAAGGUUAAAACUCAAAUGAAUUGACGGGGGCCCGCACAAGCGGUGGAGCAUGUGGUUUAAUUCGAAGCAACGCGAAGAACCUUACCUACUCUUGACAUACUAGAAACUUUUCAGAGAUGAAUUGGUACCUUCGGGGAUCUAGAUACAGGUGCUGCAUGGCUGUCGUCAGCUCGUGUCG
rnacentral:rRNA from 1 species